CAAAUAUUCCCCAGAAGCCUAAUAUGUGCUCCAUGCUACCACACACAAGGGCAAAUGGAUAGAUGAAGAGGACACCCUUAUUAUCUAAGAGUGUGGGAACUGGACUGGAGCCAAAAAUCCCAACAGCUCAAACUCAGGGCUGGGUCAGAAUCAGGCGGAGAACCCGGAGUGGUGACAGUGAUGGCAGCAGAGCCAGGGUGAGACUGAGAGUGCUCAGACUAAUUUUCUUGGAAGUAGUGGAAAGCUCCGCUAAAAAAGAAACAUGGGUUUGGAUUGAGCAGAAUGUCAAGAGCCCUGAGAACCAACCAAAAAAUGGCAGAUGAGCUGUUUCAGGGGCAACAUUUAGGAAAGUGAAAUCUCUGCUUUGCUUACAAUGACGGGACUGAAAAUGGCAAUUCUGCACAGGAAAGGGACUGUGGGACUCUUCCAAGACAUUUAGGACAUCCAAGUUUCUUUGAAGGUUGGCACAUCAGUCUUUAUUCUUCCACAGAGGAAACUAAGGCUCGGAUUAAGGGCUUUGCACCAGAUCUGGUAAGUGAGCCAGCUCUGCCCAACACCAGAGUUCAUUCUGGAACCGUAGCCAAAUCCAAAGCUCAUACCACUCGUCUCACAACAGCCAAUAAGACAAGACAUACUCAACUAUUCUUUCCAAAUAAAGGAAAGUGACUUUAUUUCAGGAAGCCAGCAAACUGAGAAGAUGGCAGACUGGUGUCCUAAAGGACCAUCUUCAAAGGUAUGAAUCUCAAGCUUCUUUUUAUAUUGGGUAAAGGGAACAAGGAGGGGGUUAAGGUCAGGAGGUGACAGGUGACCACAGACAUCUGGGUGUCAGCAAGAGUCUGAGGGAGUUUCAUAACUUCUUUUUCUUUGUUCAGGUCACAGCACUCCUACAAGUCUUUAGCAUAACAUUGUUCUUGGGUGUAUGCCCUUCUUAUCUCCUCAGGGGUUAGUUUGGGGAAGGCCCUAUUAUCAUCCUUGCUUUAAAGUUAAGCUAUACACUAAAUUCCUCCCAUAGUUAGCUGGGCCUACAUGCAGGAAUGAGCAAAGGCAGUUUGCUUGGGGGUUAGAAGCAAGAUGGAGUCAACUAUGCUAGAUUUCUCUCACUGCUACAGAACCCCCCUCUGUGCUAUUUUGAGCCAAACCCCCUUGUCUAGUGUGGCAAAGGCAGGGACUCUCACAUGCUAUAUUUGAGCCCCAAGUGAUACUGGUAGUCUGACUCAUCCAUUCACCCUGUCCUCUCCUGUAACCUCCAGCAGGAACCAUUUCUGGACCACAUUUGGGGCCACCAUUGCCCACUCUCCUCUCUGCUUCUCCUCCACCCACAGCUGCCUGAGCCCAUCCCUGUGACCAGUACAUUGACAGAAAUCUUGGAAACACAAACCUUUGGUUCAGGGGCUGACCCCCCACCAGUUGGAGGCUGGAGAUAACCCCAAGAGGUUGAAGCUAAAUGCUCAGGUUCUAGAAUCUGGUGUAUCUUGGCUCAACAUGUUGCCUUAGCCUUCAUAGGGGAGGCAACUUAUCUUUUCCUUCUAUCUAUCUUAGGUUCAUUGUCUGGAACCCCUGUAACAAAAGACAGAUUAAGAAGAAGAAAGCAUACUAAUUUAUUUAAUGUAAGUUAUACAUGAAAAAAAAUGAAGACCUGAAGAAGUAAUUAAACCUGGGUGGGGUUUUGCUGCUGUUUGUGGUGGUGGUGGUGAUGGUGUUUUCGAGGCAGGGUCUCGCUGUAUCGCCCAGCCUGGUCUCUCACAGGAGGGUCUUAGGCCUGCUUCAGGGGAAGGUCAGAAAAGUCUUCCUAGGUUUUAGGACCUGCUGCAGAGGGGAAAGAAGAGGAAUGGCCAGGGGAGGUCAGAGAAACCUUCCUGAACAUGCUGUUUCUCAAAUUCCUUCUGCUUAAACUGUUCGCUAUGCUAAGGUGCCAGAUUUGGGAGUAGCGUGUCCUGAAGACCAUCAACUUUGCAGGUGGUUUGAUGUGGUUACAAGUGCUUAAAAAUGCCCUCUGUUGCCUCAUCUUUGAAAUGGGAUAACAGUGAUACUAAUAGCUCCUGUCCAACAGAGGCAUUCAGUGCCUGGCAUGUCAUUAGUAUUAUAUAUACAUAACAAAUAAUAUCCUGUCUGUUUCUUUGAGGAGUUUCAGACACACUAUCAAGAAAGCCUGCUGUGUUGAAGUGUAAGAGUGCAGCCCCGCUUACAGCGCUUCUUGGUUAGAAAGGCCCAGGCUAGGCUGGGCAUGGUAGCUCAUGCCUGUAAUCCUGGCACUUUGGGAGGCCGAGGCAGGUGGAUCACUUGA
rnacentral:lncRNA from 1 species